GUGUUUGUAAUUUAAACAAAAUAUCAAGCUGUGACCUUGAACAUAGAGAUUACUCUCAUACACC
rnacentral:tRNA from 1 species